AGUGGAUAGACAUCCAAGUGACUUCUUGUCUUGGUCACGCUCAGUACCCUUGUUCUCUAACAAGCACCUGCACUAUCACUUCAGUGUCCCUACACUGUGGACUCGAGUCUCGUCCAUCCAGAAGAAAAGUGAUCUGUGCACUGAUCGGAUCGAUCACCGUCCUCGUGAUGAUCCAUUGAUCAGGAGCAUUUAGAAAUUAAUCACCAAUGAUACAUGGCUCAAAUUCUCAACUCUUGAGAAUAUAUAUCAUCAUCUUAUUAAUUCCUUGGACGAUUCAUAGACACAUAAACAAUAUGAAUAAAAAAGAUGCCCAUUUAUUAUUCAAUAAUAAUAAAGUCAAGUACAAAUUUAUGUCCUAGAAUUAAUAAUGUGUCCGCCAGAUUGGCUUCUAGGGAAUACAUCUAACAAUCUCCCACUUGCACUAAAGCCAAUCAGACAUAUAUCUAAGUCCCAUCUUCUCAAGGUGGGCUUCUGUCUUCUGCUGAUUUAACUGCUUAGUGAGCGGGUCUGCCACGUUGUCCGCGGAGUCUACUCUCUGCACCUCGACAUAUUUCUUCUCGAGGUAUUCGCGUAUGAGGUGAAAGCGCCGCUCUAUGUGCUUG
rnacentral:lncRNA from 1 species